CUUUGUGUGUGCUGAAGGUAUCUUUUCUACAAUUAGGGAUGUUCUUAACUCCAGCUGUCUGUUCUGACUGGCAAAGACUACACACAUUUCCAGAUCCCUUGAGCAAGUUUAACAGCUGCUGGUUAUGAUUCCUGAACUCCUGGAAUCUGCUGUGGAAAGAGAAGAGAUAAAAAUCAAUGGCACUGUUUGUCUCCUAGAAAGAUUAACAUGUGAAGAAGAGCUUUAUGAAAUGGGCCUUGCUGCUUUUGUAGGGAAAGGCCAAGAAAAAGCAACUAAUCCUUACAGUCUUGCUGACCUGGCCAGGGGAGAACUGACUGACUCCAAACGAGGCAAAUCAUUUUACUGAAAUCAUGCAAGUGAGAGACCAUCCAGGCAUCUACCUCAGUUAUCUUAAUUUUAGGAGGAGACUCUGCAUGUCUUGACUAUAUCCCCUGUGAUCAGAGGAAGCUGAAACAGCAUAAGGAUGGUCUUUCUCAAAGGACUGAAUCUUGCACCUGUAAUGCAAGAGGCAAUAGGUAAAGGCAGGCAGGGGAGCACAAGAAAAGGAGAAGUUAGAUGAGAUGGAAGAAUUACUAUGUUAGAUACUGUACAGGGUAGGUAGGCUGAGACUAGAUUGGGAAAUACCAGAGUUCAGCAAAUCAAGAAUAGCAGAAAGUUAGCAGCCUUCCUUCUAAGUAACGGUGGUGGGCAUAGGCUUCUUUGAGGAUAGCAGUGGAUGUCUUGCAAGGAGCCUUAAAAUGAAGGCAAAUAUACGUGGUGCUAUAGAAAAAGAUGGAUCUUCCAAAGGGAGCUGGAUGAUGCAGACAGGAAUAAUGUCAUUAAUAUGGAGAACUAGGAAAUUAUUUUUGUAGUCAUUUGCCAAAGAAGUGGAAAGUGUUAACAUCAGUAAUGUAUCCAAAUAGGGAGCAGAAUUUACGUGUUGGGAAAGGCCGCAUCUAUUCCAAACAAACACUUAUUUUUGCCAGAACAAGAUUUUGACAUAUGCUUAAGUGUGAGGUCCAAGUCAUACCAAAGUUAUUUUGCCUCUAGACUUGUAUUCCACUGCCAGAGAGGCAGCCUGGCUGCACCAUGUAUGCUGCCACCACAUUAGGCCUCAAGUCUAAUGAGCUUAGAUGAGAACAGCCUACAGGUUAAGGAAAAGUUUAAGCUGUGAAGGAGAAAAGACCUGGUUUUAUUUACUUAAUCCCCUCCUCAACUCCAAGAACGUAACAGACCUUGUACUCGCAUCCCUACUGGAUAAAAAGGAGUUGUAAGAACUUGAGCUUUAACUGUCUGGGAAUGUGGAGACAGUGCUUCAGACCAGCAUCCUGGUGCUUUGGUGCCUUCCAUGAUGCCGAUUGGAUGUAAAAACAGCACAGACUCAGAGUGCAACUGCUUCCCUGACUGCCCUAGCUUCACAUGAAAGCCUUGAAACUGUUGAACUUGAAAUAUUCCACCAGCUCCCAUUGCCUGCCCUUAAUCCUUUGAAAGGGUUUAAACUCCCAGUUUUAUUUCCAGAGUGUUUUCAAGAUCUUGGAUUGAAAAGAAUUGAAAAAUUAGUUGCUUGACAAGGUUUUUUUUCUUGUUUAAGUCAAAGAAGAGAUGAAAAAUGUAAAGACUGCUUCCAAAAAUCUUUUCCUGCCCAGGUGGACCCAUAAGACUUCUAAUUAUCAAAUCACCUGUCAUUCAUUCUCACAUGCAGGUUUCCAGGUCAUAGCCAGCAAACCUCAUGCUCUUCUUGGUGUGCCUGCUGGAGACAUCUCAAAGCACUCUGUAAGGCUGGCAGUGAUCAGUAUUUAAGGAGGAACCAUCACCUCUUGUAAACAUAACUAAGCAAAUUACUGAAUGGGGUGAGGAAAACUGACAGCCUCAAAGCCUUCUGCUUCUCCAUGGACAUGGUAUUUGACUGAGUUUAAUAGAGCGCUGGGCACGUCAAGUAGGGGCAAAAUUGUUGUUAACGUGCAGAAUUGUCUGUCACAUGGAUAGGCUUUAAUGUGUGAUAUUCUGCAAAGGAGGGUUGGAAAUGUGAGUAGGUUUGAGAAAGCAGAGUGCUGUAGCACUGUGGCAGGUCUCUGCAGGACUAGACCCAGGUAUCUUGUGAAAGGGAAGCCUAUGGAGAAAAUAAAGGGGUAGGAGGAGAAGCUUGUACAGGCUGAAGAAGAGGUAUUCGCAUGUCUGAUGGGAGAAGAAUGAGACUGUGCUGCUGUUUCACUAACAGAGAACUUGUGGGAUGUCUUCAACUUUCCCUGUUGGGUAAAGCUUUUCAAAUGUCAAAGCUGUGGACUUUAUUUUCAUUGUUCCUAUCCCUAUUGAGCUAAAUGCUCAGUAUUCACAUUUGACAUCAUACCAGAUGUCAAGGCUUUCAGUUUCUAUUUUAUUAGGAAGCUUUUGCUUAAUCUAUUUUGGUUUCAGUUUUCUGGCCAGCUCUUUUUCUUGCCAAAGUUAUGCCAAGUAAAACCCGACCCGUUAGGAUUUUUAAAUGUUUCUUCUUCCUCUGGGCUUGAUUUUGGGGAAUAGUUUACAUGCAGAAGGAUGUGAGCAAACGCCUUAGACCAUUUUUCAGAAGUGCCAAAGUAGAUGUCCAGCACUAAAGUCACUUCCAGCUCUUAUGAAGUAAGAAAUCUGCCAAGCUGUUUUCCCUCUUCUGCUUCACAGAAGCAGUUUCUUUUAACACAAUAGCACAAGAGAAAUGCAAAAUACUUCUUGGCCUUCCUUAUGUAUUCGGGAGGGUGAUGUUUUUCUUGAAUUUAGCUUAUUAAAAUAUUAGGGGUUUUGUUUUACCAGUAUCUUUUUAAGAGUACUCAGGAUAAGCUGUAGGUAAAUUUUUUUUUUGCCUGAAAAGAAAGAUUUACUCAGUCUUUGCCUGAUCUAGGACAUGGGAAUAUGAUAAGCAGUUGUCUAGAUUCACAUAUAUUAAAAGUAUGGAGAAAUGGUUUAGAGCAUUUUAGUGUGCAUGUCUAGUGGCUGCAGAUAACCCAUGAAUCUUUCUGUAGAUAAUGAACAAGCACUAAUAUAAAAAAAUUUUAACAUAAUUUUAUAAAUUAAGGAUUCCUAAAUAGGGGCUCAUCUUUGCUGGAGACUUGGAGAAAGACAGUUGGUGGUAACUGAUUUUAAAAUAUAUUCAUUUAUAUGUUGUGUGAGAUAACUAUGGAAGUGGUAUCUUUUGGCCAUUGUAGUGGAUGUUGCUGUCUGUGGUAGUAAGCAAGCACAGUUUGGGAGCCUGUGACUGAAAGUGUGUGAAUGAGGGAGGCAUACUGGUGAAAGAUAAAGUUUAAAUCUUACAAUUAUAAAUCUUGGAUGGACCUAGAACUACCCAGUUUCUUAUGGAUAUUGGUUGUACUGAGAAGUUGUCAUUACAGUUUGAUUUCCUGAUUUGCAAAUCCUUUCUUGUUGGGCUUUUCAGUAACGCUUUUCUUCUGAAACAUUGCUAAGAUUAAAGCAAUGCGAAGAUGAAAAUAUGACCUCACUGAAAUGGAUGGCAAAAUUGCCAGUAAACUCACUGA